CCUACGGGAGGCUGCAGUGGGGAAUAUUGGGCAAUGGGCGCAAGCCUGACCCAGCAACGCCGCGUGCAGGAAGACGGCUUUCGGGUUGUAAACUUCUUUUGUCAGGGGAGUGUAGAAGACGGUACCUGACGAAUAAGGCACGGCUCACUACGUGCCAGCAGCCGCGGUAAUACGUAGGUGGCAAGCGUUGUCCGGAUUUACUGGGUGUAAAGGGCGUGUAGUGGGGUUGACAAGUCAGAUGUGAAAUCCUUCGGCUUAACCGCAGAACUGCAUUUGAAACUGUUGAUCUUGAGUACUGGAGAGGAAGACGGAAUUCCUGGUGUAGCGGUGAAAUGCGUAGAUAUUAGGAGGAACACCAGUGGCGAAGGC
rnacentral:rRNA from 1 species